rnacentral:lncRNA from 1 species
AUAAGGGAAAGUCUAAAAACAAGGCCAAAGGAAAGAAAUGUUUUUAUUGUGGAAAACAGAGUCAUUUUAUUAAAGACUGUUAUAAAAAGAAAAAUGAGACAAAAGAAAAGAAAUAUGAAGUUGGGGAUGCAGCCUUAGUGUAUAACAAAGAUAAAAAUGAAGAUGGCCUAGUCCUUGUUAAUGGGGACAAGAGACUAAGUGAUGAAUAUAUCAUUGAUUCAGGUUGUUCCUUUCAUAUGUGCCC